rnacentral:rRNA from 1 species
UACGUAGGGGGCAAGCGUUGUCCGGAUUUAUUGGGCGUAAAGAGCGUGUAGGCGGCCAUGCAGGUCCGUUGUGAAAACUCGAGGCUCAACCUCGAGACGCCGGUGGAAACCGUGUGGCUAGAGUCCGGAAAAGGAGAGUGGAAUUCCUGGUGUAGCGGUGAAAUGCGCAGAUAUCAGGAAGAACACCCGUGGCGAAGGCGGCUCUCUGGGACGUGACUGACGCUGAGACGCGAAAGCGUGGGGAGCAAACAGG